rnacentral:rRNA from 1 species
GAUGAACGCUGGCGGCGUGCCUAAUACAUGCAAGUCGAGCGAACAGACGAGGAGCUUGCUCCUCUGACGUUAGCGGCGGACGGGUGAGUAACACGUGGAUAACCUACCUAUAAGACUGGGAUAACUUCGGGAAACCGGAGCUAAUACCGGAUGAUAUAUUGAACCGCAUGGUUCAAUAGUGAAAGACGGUUUUGCUGUCACUUAUAGAUGGAUCCGCGCCGCAUUAGCUAGUUGGUAAGGUAACGGCUUACCAAGGCAACGAUGCGUAGCCGACCUGAGAGGGUGAUCGGCCACACUGGAACUGAGACACGGUCCAGACUCCUACGGGAGGCAGCAGUAGGGAAUCUUCCGCAAUGGGCGAAAGCCUGACGGAGCAACGCCGCGUGAGUGAUGAAGGUCCUCGGAUCGUAAAACUCUGUUAUUAGGGAAGAACAAAUGUGUAAGUAACUAUGCACGGCUUGACGGUACCUAAUCAGAAAGCCACGGCUAACUACGUG